rnacentral:misc_RNA from 1 species
AAAGUCGUAACAAGGUUUCCGUAGGUGAACCUGCGGAAGGAUCAUUACAGAGAACUUGCCCUUCGGGGUAGAUCUCCCACCCUUUGUCUACCAUACUUUGUUGCUUUGGCAGGCCCGCUCUCGGGCCGCCGGCUUCGGCUGGCCAGCGUCUGCCAGAGGACCACAAACUCUUGUAUUUUAGUGUCGUCUGAGUACUUUAUAAUAAGUUAAAACUUUCAACAACGGAUCUCUUGGUUCUG